rnacentral:rRNA from 1 species
AGUGAACGCUGGCGGCAGGCCUAACACAUGCAAGUCGAGCGGCAGCGCGUCCGACCACCCUCGGGUGGUCGGAUGGCGGCGAGCGGCGGACGGGUGAGGAAUGCAUCGGAAUCUGCCUCGUUGUGGGGGAUAACGUAGGGAAACUUACGCUAAUACCGCAUACGACCUACGGGUGAAAGUGGGGGACCUUCGGGCCUCACGCGAUGAGAUGAGCCGAUGCCGGAUUAGCUAGUUGGCGGGGUAAAGGCCCACCAAGGCGACGAUCCGUAGCUGGUCUGAGAGGAUGAUCAGCCACACUGGAACUGAGACACGGUCCAGACUCCUACGGGAGGCAGCAGUGGGGAAUAUUGGACAAUGGGGGCGAACCCUGAUCCAGCAACGCCGCGUGGAGGAUGAAGGUCUUCGGAUUGUAAACUCCUGUUAGGGGGGACGAAGGGAUGUCGGCAAACAGCCGACAAACUUGACGGUACCCCCAGAGGAAGCCCCGGCUAACUCUGUGCCAGCAGCCG